UCUCCGUAGGUGAACCUGCGGAGGGAUCAUUACAGAGUUCUCGCCCUCGCGGGUAGAUCUCCCACCCACUGUUAUCGUCACUGUGUUGCUUUGGCGGGCCGCCGGGCCCCGCUCGGCCGCCGGCUCCGGCUGGCGCGCGCCCGCCAGAGGCCCAGCAAACUCUGAAUGUUAGUGUCGUCUGAGUACUAAAUAAUAGUUAAAACUUUCAACAACGGAUCUCUUGGUUCUG
rnacentral:misc_RNA from 1 species